rnacentral:snRNA from 1 species
GGGCUCGCUUGGGUAGCACAUAUGCUAAAAUUAGAACGGUCUGGAGAAGUGGAGCAUGGCCCCUGCUCAAGGAUGACUCAC